rfam:Rickettsia prowazekii str. Madrid E, complete genome
AACAUACUUGCUUUUAUAGGAAAAAUAAUUAUAAUUUAAGUUUACUGUAAUUUACAAGUUCUUAUAAUUUGUAUUUAGAUAUGAUUUAAAGAGAGUCAAGGGUGAAGUAUAUUUUUACCCUUUAAUCAGUGAUAUA